UUAGCCUCUCCUCUCUGGCCCUGUGGUACGGCCUUGUACCGCUCGAUGGUACUCUAUGAAUAGAGGCUUGCACAUUGAUUUCUACUUCAUCAAAGUCAACUCAGUUGGAUGUCAUUGCUAUAGCAAAACAUGUUUUAAAACAGUUAGGAGAUAUCACACAAUCACAGGUUAUAUAAUGGCAUGUAUAGCUAGACUCACACACAAUACGUUCAAUCCUAGAAUCGACUAAACCGUAGCUCUGAU
rnacentral:lncRNA from 1 species